rnacentral:rRNA from 1 species
ACGUAGGGGGCGAGCGUUAUCCGGAAUUACUGGGCGUAAAGGGUGCGUAGGCGGUUUGUUAAGUCAGAGGUGAAAACCUACGGCUCAACUGUAGAAAGCCCGUGGAUACUGGCAGGCUUGAGUAAGGGAAAGGGAGGCGGAAUUCCAAAUGUAGCGGUGAAAUGUGUAGAUAUUACGAGGAACACCGAUUGCGAAGGCAGCUUCCUGGACCGUAACUGACGCUGAGGCGCGAAAGCUUGGGGAGCGAACAG